rnacentral:lncRNA from 1 species
AGUUUUAGGGCAUAGAGCGUAACGACAAUUCCAUUGCCGAUGCACUGUUGAAGUUGGCCACUACGGAUGCAGAUGUUUUCAACGGAUCGAUUUAUUUAGAAGUUUUGUAGCAGCUGAGUGUUCAGCAUGAAGCGGUGAUGUGUAUCGAGCGAUCUAAUUGCUGGAUGACUCCCUACAUCGAAUAUUUGGCAGAUGACGUCCUUCCUUCGGAUCAGAUGCUGG